ensembl:lncRNA novel transcript, sense intronic to HMGA2
AAGUGAAUGACUACUAAAUUAGCCAUCACUUCAAUUUCAAACCAUAUUCAGUAGAAAAUUGAUUUAUAUAAUAUGUAAAACAAAGACAUUUAUAAGAACACAAUUUCCUAUGCUUGGAACUUUUGGAAGAGAAGAUAAUUAUUCUUCAAUCUACUUAAUAUUCCAUUAAAACUAAUUACUAUGCAUGACCAUUGUGUAAUGAUUCUAGUCAUUCCUCAGAACUCCAAUCUGAGUGCUCAAAAUUUGUCCCUGAAUCAGUUUCAUAUAGUUACCUGAAUAAAAGAAAUCAGAAGUUAAAGUU